UGUGUUAAAAGUGUUAAUUAGAGACAUAUGAUGUUAUAGGGAGAUUAUAGCUCGGAGGAUCGAGCACGUGUGAUUUCGGGAUUUGCUAGCCAUCGAUAUUCACGAGGUACUAGCGAUGACCGUGGGAAUGCGCCGGCUUGAUCUGUACACACGCAUGGGAUUUUUGAUAUACAUCGAUCUUGGGAUUUUGUGUAAUGUGAAUUGAGAUUUAAACUUGAUGUUUUUAUGAAAAAUUAAUGAGAAAUGUUUUUAUAAAUUGUGAAAAAUUAUUUUAAAA